rnacentral:rRNA from 1 species
GAGCCUAUGUCGGAUUAGCUAGUUGGUGAGGUAAUGGCUCACCAAAGGCCGCGAUCCGUAGCUGGUCUGAGAGGAUGAUCAGCCACAUCGGGACUGAGACACGGCCCGAACUCCUACGGGAGGCAGCAGUGGGGAAUAUUGGACAAUGGGCGAAAGCCUGAUCCAGCCAUGCCGCGUGUGAGAAGAAGGCCUUCGGGUUGUAAAGCACUUUCAGCGAGGAAGAACGCUUGUGGGUUAAUACCCCGCAAGAAGGACAUCACUCGCAGAAGAAGCACCGGCUAACUCCGUGCCAGCAGCCGCGGUAAUACGGAGGGUGCAAGCGUUAAUCGGAAUUACUGGGCGUAAAGCGCGCGUAGGCGGCUUGAUAAGCCGGUUGUGAAAGCCCCGGGCUCAACCUGGGAACGGCAUCCGGAACUGUCAGGCUAGAGUGCAGGAGAGGAAGGUAGAAUUCCCGGUGUAGCGGUGAAAUGCGUAGAGAUCGGGAGGAAUACCAGUGGCGAAGGCGGCCUUCUGGACUGACACUGACGCUGAGGUGCGAAAGCGUGGGUAGCAAACAGGAUUAGAUACCCUGGUAGUCCACGCCGUAAACGAUGUCGACUAGCCGUUGGGGUCCUCGAGACCUUUGUGGCGCAGUUAACGCGAUAAGUCGACCGCCUGGGGAGUACGGCCGCAAGGUUAAAACUCAAAUGAAUUGACGGGGGCCCGCACAAGCGGUGGAGCAUGUGGUUUAAUUCGAUGCAACGCGAAGAACCUUACCUACUCUUGACAUCGAGCGAACUUUCCAGAGAUGGAUUGGUGCCUUCGGGAACGCUCAGACAGGUGCUGCAUGGCCGUCGUCAGCUCGUGUUGUGAAAUGUUGGGUUAAGUCCCGUAACGAGCGCAACCCUUGUCCCUAUUUGCCAGCGAUUCGGUCGGGAACUCUAGGGAGACUGCCGGUGACAAACCGGAGGAAGGUGGGGACGACGUCAGGUCAUCAUGGCCCUUACGAGUAGGGCUACACACGUGCUACAAUGGCCGGUACAAUGGGCUGCAAUCCCGCGAGGGGGAGCUAAUCUCAUAAAGCCGGUCUCAGUCCGGAUCGGAGUCUGCAACUCGACUCCGUGAAGUCGGAAUCGCUAGUA